rnacentral:rRNA from 1 species
CAGUAGCCACGGGAAAACGAGGGGUGCAAGCGUUAUUCGGAUUGAUUGGGUGUAAAGGGUGUGCAGACGGCUUAUUAAGUCACUUGUUAAAUUCUUCGGCCUAACUGAAGGUCUGCAAGUGAUACUGAUGAGCUAGAGGGUGGAAGAGAGAAAUGGAAUUCUCGGAGUAGCGGUAAAAUGCGUAGAUCUCGAGAGGAACACCAAUGGCGAAGGCAGCUUCUUGGUCCAUUCCUGACGUUCAUACACGAAAGCGUGGGGAGCAAACAGGAUUAGAUACCCCCGUAGUCCCUGUCUCUUAUAC